rnacentral:rRNA from 1 species
AAACGACUCUCGGCAACGGAUAUCUCGGCUCUCGCAUCGAUGAAGAACGUAGCGAAAUGCGAUACUUGGUGUGAAUUGCARAAUCCCGUGAACCAUCGAGUUUUUGAACGCAAGUUGCGCCCCAAGCCUUUUGGCCGAGGGCACGUCUGCCUGGGUGUCACAAA